rnacentral:rRNA from 1 species
CUAUACUGCAGUCGAGCGAAUGGAUUAAGAGCUUGCUCUUAUGAAGUUAGCGGCGGACGGGUGAGUAACACGUGGGUAACCUGCCCAUAAGACUGGGAUAACUCCGGGAAACCGGGGCUAAUACCGGAUAACAUUUUGAACCGCAUGGUUCGAAAUUGAAAGGCGGCUUCGGCUGUCACUUAUGGAUGGACCCGCGUCGCAUUAGCUAGUUGGUGAGGUAACGGCUCACCAAGGCAACGAUGCGUAGCCGACCUGAGAGGGUGAUCGGCCACACUGGGACUGAGACACGGCCCAGACUCCUACGGGAGGCAGCAGUAGGGAAUCUUCCGCAAUGGACGAAAGUCUGACGGAGCAACGCCGCGUGAGUGAUGAAGGCUUUCGGGUCGUAAAACUCUGUUGUUAGGGAAGAACAAGUGCUAGUUGAAUAAGCUGGCACCUUGACGGUACCUAACCAGAAAGCCACGGCUAACUACGUGCCAGCAGCCGCGG